rnacentral:lncRNA from 1 species
CUCUUAUUUCCAAUUUUUCAGGAAUCAUGGAUUAGGCUACAGUGAACAUCCUUAGCCAUAAAACUUUCACCCACGUCCCCAACUAUGUAUUUAGGAUAAAUCUGCAAGAGUGAAAGGACUGGGCAAGAGGUUCCAAGUUCAUGGUAUUAGGAAAACAAGACAUAAAGUUAGUAAAUGUGCAUCUUCUAGAGCCACUCUUCCCCGCCUGAGUUUAUCGGUCACUCAUAUUUCUCCCGUACACAGCUUCGGCCCACAAUCUUAAAUAUUUUCUAAGGCAAACAAUGUUUUGAACAGAUUUAAAGGGGGAAGAGGAGGGGGCGGUGUAAGCCGGGCCCCACUUCUUAAACUGCUCAGUCAAGCAAUGGAAUCUUAGACACACACACACACACACACACACACACACACACACACACACACCCGUGCCCUCCAAGAACCUGCUUUGCCUCCUGUUAAAUUAAAGGGCGCCGAGGGCAGGCAACACUGGGCGCUGGGCAGGCACAGCCCGAGAAGGAGUUCCCCACCAGUACUGAGCCCAAGCUUUGCUCCAGCCUCCGCCCUGGUUUUCUCUGCCCGGAGGAGCCGGGUGUGCGGCCGCCCGCCUUCCCGUACCUGUCGGGAGGCCCCGCAGAGCUUGGGCUUCUCACACCCAGCGACCGCCACGGCUGCUACCGGCGCAAACCACAAUUGUCUUUGGUUGCUAGGCGACGCCUCCCGGCGCCUGCGCACUUCUGCGGGAGCGCGCUCCUCUCCCGCGUGGCCUUUGUCCAGCCCUGGGCUUCAGUUGGUCACGGAGGAGCCUGGCGCGUCCUCUUUCCCGAGUAAAGUGCUUUGGAGCGGGAAAUAAGAUGCAGAGCCUCCUCAGAACUCAUCUUGGCCCUACCAGAUCUCCUCGUCCGCCAUUCUUCCCCACAGCCCAGAUGAAGAAAACAAGAACCUGCUUCGUUUCUUCCUUCGCUACUCCCACACGCCAGUGGCGAACAGCAGUUAAGCCACCGGUCGGCCACCAGCAGUUUGUUCCCUCACUGUUCCCCCUCACGUCCUCACCCCAACCCCUGCCGUCAUGUCUGGCUUUACAGCUGAUGACCUCGGCUUCUUACCCCUUCUUCUUGCUGCAUACACACAUCAAGCUGCUAGAAGCCCUUAUUCUAAGCCUGUCCUUUCCCUACCCAAACGUCAGUGGCUUCCGAAGCGCCUUCAACGCCUCCACCCUGUGGACCGACCUUCCAACACAUGGACCUGUGCUGGUACCCACACCACAGCGAUGGGUACAUCUUCUGCUUAAACAGAAGAAGCUUCCUUUUGAGAAGACAAUCCUGUCUGCUUUAUUUUAAUGUUUCAUGUCAAACUGCUUUUAAGGAGAAAAAAGCUACUGUCUAUCAAAUUUUAAACCUCCAAAUUCAUAGAACCCCUUGAAAUAUAUUAACAAAGCAUUGUCACAUAGCAGAUUUCUCAGAUUAGGUGUAAUUAACAUAUCAAUUAUUAUGUAAAUGAUGCCUCUGCCUUGCUAGAAAAAUAAAUUCUAGGACAAUUUAAUUCUUAAAUAGGUUGAAUGAUCUUUUUGCUAUUAAUGACCACUUAAUUUUUAAAUUAUUUAUACUCUUUUUACACUACGUCCUUAACAAUCCAAGCAGUAGAGUAUAUGAAGCACUUUGGAAGAUAUAAAUCA